rnacentral:lncRNA from 10 species
AUGUGACCUCCUAGUUCUAUGAAAUACCCUUCAACAAUGCAGAAUUGACAAACCCUCCCAGAACCUGAUAUACUAGGAGACUUUGGAAACACAUUAGUGCAUUCGGAAGCCCUGCAGUAGUCUGCCGCAUGACUUAUUCCAGCUUAUCCCUACAUUAUGGAAUGCUUUUGUCACUGAAUACCUUCAGAACGCAUUUUGGGAAAACUUUUAUAUAUUC